CACGCGAUUUGUCUUUAAUCUGUGUAGUGGGUUCAUAAUAGUCGGGAUCCCCUCGAUUAUUCGUCAAAUUAUCUCGGGCUUGGUUUAAGAAACCUUCCACUUUCUUUUUUAUGCAUUGAUGUGAUCUCAACCAAACCAAAAUAACUAGCUAGGUAACAAGAAAUUAAAUGUAUUUGCCACCUAAUUUAAUCUCAAAUGGUCCUCACUUACUUGAAACAUGUCUAUUAUAUUUAUUAGCUUGUUUCAAGAAGCCUAAACCAUUGUUAAACAAUGGUUUAGGAUCAACAUUGUUGCCACCAACGCCCGACUUGUCUUUAAUAUGUGUAGAAUAGUAAGGAUUUCUUCGAUUGUUCAUCAAGUUAUCUGAAGCUUGUCUUAAGAAAUCUCCCAUUUUCUUUUUAUGUAUUGAUGUGAUCUCUUCUUUGCACCCGUUGAUCCCUAAAAAUAACAAAUCAACCCCAUAAAAUAUUAAAAACUUGCACUAUAAUCCAUCUUCCUUCAAAAAAUUGGCUAAGCCAUUACAAAGGAUUUUUUUUAUAAAAUUUUGGAUCCAAUUAGGAGAUAACAAGUAAAUUCGAUAGGAUUUUGCAACCCAAUCAACUAAAUGAGUAAGACGAUCCGACGGAGUCAUAUUGAUAUGCAAAAUAUUAGAAUUAUGUAUUAUAAUUAGUAUUUUUGGGAAUUAGGAUAUAAAGUAGUACGCACCUAGAUCAUAUGAGCCACCGAUACGUUAUUCUACGUCUCAACGCGAUGCUCCAUCCUUGUAGCUUUUGCUCCAAAGACAACGAGCACUCGAAUUACUACCUUCUGCCACCAUUUGGCUUACAGCCGAUUCUAGUACCAAUGAACUUCCCGCGAGCUUUAGGCAAUCAUUUAUCCCGAGCUCUUUAGAUCUGUACAUUUUCAAUGCGACCACUUGUCCCAAAAUUUUCCUAUCGGUAUCUUUUCAAUCUUUCCGAAGCCUUCCAUUCCAUUUUGUAACAAUUGAAUCAUAACGUUAGAUAAGUUUAACUCCAAUCUCUGUUGGCAACAACAAUCCCACAUAGAAUCUUAACAUGUUAGUCAUUGUAUAAAUCAAAACAAAAACAAAACUCAGAAUAAAUAAACACUGCCUAAAUCUGCAACCUCAUUGCCUUCCAUAUUUUCGGUUGGUUUAAGGGAUUCGAUGGAUCAUCGAACCAAAUAACCGCGGUGA
rnacentral:lncRNA from 1 species